GAAAAUGACUGAGCGGCGAACGGGUGAGUAACGCGUGAGCAAUCUACCUUAGUUACAGGGAUAGCCCGAGGAAACUCGGAUUAAUACCUGAUAUUCUUUAUAUUUCGCAUGAAAUUAAAAGGAAAGGUCAGCCGAACUAAGAUGAGCUCGCGUUCUAUCAGCUAGUUGGUGAGGUAAAAGCUCACCAAGGCUACGACGGAUAGCUGGUCUGAGAGGACGAUCAGCCACACUGGGACUGAGACACGGCCCAGACUCCUACGGGAGGCUGCAGCAGGGAAUAUUGCGCAAUGAGCGAAAGCUUGACGCACCGACACCGCGUGUGGGAUGACGGAUCUAGGUUUGUAAACCACUUUCAGGAGGGAAGA
rnacentral:rRNA from 1 species